rnacentral:rRNA from 1 species
AUUGAACGCUGGCGGCAGGCCUAACACAUGCAAGUCGAGCGAGCGGCGGACGGGUGAGUAAUGUAUGGGGAUCUGCCCGAUAGAGGGGGAUAACUACUGGAAACGGUGGCUAAUACCGCAUACUAUCGGAUGAACCCAUAUGGGAUUAGCUAGUUGGUGGGGUAAAGGCCUACCAAGGCGACGAUCAGUAGCUGGUCUGAGAGGACGAUCAGCCACACUGGGACGGAGACACGGCCCAGACUCCUACGGGAGGCAGCAGUGGGGAAUUUUGGACAAUGGGGGCAACCCUGAUCCAGCAAUGCCGCGUGUGUGAAGAAGGCCUUCGGGUUGUAAAGCACUUUUGUCCGGGAAGCGGUACCGGAAGAAUAAGGACCGGCUAACUACGUGCCAGCAGCCGCGGUAAUUC